GAUCAUGGCUCAGGAUGAACGCUAGCUACAGGCUUAACACAUGCAAGUCGAGGGGCAGCAUGAAUUUACUUCGGUAGAUUUGAUGGCGACCGGCGCACGGGUGCGUAACGCGUAUCCAACCUUCCCGUUACUCCGGGAUAGCCUUCCGAAAGGGAGAUUAAUACCGGAUGGUGUUUGAAGUCCGCAUGAAAUUCAAACUAAAGAUUUAUCGGUGACGGAUGAGGAUGCGUACGAUUAGCUAGUUGGCGGGGUAACGGCCCACCAAGGCGACGAUCGUUAGGGGUUCUGAGAGGAAGGUCCCCCACACUGGAACUGAGACACGGUCCAGACUCCUACGGGAGGCAGCAGUGAGGAAUAUUGGUCAAUGAUCGGAAGACUGAACCAGCCAAGUAGCGUGAAGGAUGAAGGUUCUAUGGAUUGUAAACUUCUUUAUACGGGAAUAAAACCUCCCACGUGUGGGAGCUUGUAUGUACCGUAUGAAUAAGCAUCGGCUAACUCCGUG
rnacentral:rRNA from 1 species